rnacentral:rRNA from 1 species
UGAUGGGAAUCCAAACCCCUUUCAGAGUAACAAUUGGAGGGCAAGUCUGGUGCCAGCAGCCGCGGUAAUUCCAGCUCCAAUAGCGUAUAUUAAAGUUGUUGCAGUUAAAAAGCUCGUAGUUGGAUUUCUGCUGGAAGCAGCCAGUCCGCCCUUUAUUGGGUGUGCACAUGGUGAAUUCUGGCAUCCUCCUGAUUUUGUAGUGUCAUCAUUAUCAUUCAUGAUGAUGAGAUUAUUUUUUCAGGACUGUUACUUUGAGAAAAUUAGAGUGUUUCAAGCAGGCUUAUUGCCUUGAAUACUGCAGCAUGGAAUAACAAGAUAGGAUUUCGGUUCUAUUUUGUUGGUUUCUAGGACUGAAGUAAUGAUUAAUAGGGACAGUUGGGGGCAUUCGUAUUUAACUGUCAGAGGUGAAAUUCUUAGA